GAUGAACGCUGGCGGCGUGCUUAACACAUGCAAGUCGAACGAAGCACCUUAUUCUGAUUUCUUCGGAAUGAAAAAUUUGGUGACUGAGUGGCGGACGGGUGAGUAACGCGUGGGUAACCUGCCUCAUACAGGGGGAUAACAGUUAGAAAUGACUGCUAAUACCGCAUAAGACCACAGCACCGCAUGGUGCAGGGGUAAAAACGCCGGUGGUAUGAGAUGGACCCGCGUCUGAUUAGGUAGUUGGUGGGGUAACGGCCUACCAAGCCGACGAUCAUGAGCCGACCUGAGAGGGUGACCGGCCGCAUUGGGACUGAGACACGGCCCAAACUCCUACGGGAGGCAGCAGUGGGGAAUAUUGCACAAUGGGGGAAACCCUGAUGCAGCGACGCCGCGUGAGCGAUGAAGUAUUUCGGUAUGUAAAGCUCUAUCAGCAGGGAAGAAAAUGACGGUACCUGACUAAGAAGCACCGGCUAAAUACGUGCCAGCCGCCGCAGUAA
rnacentral:rRNA from 1 species